rnacentral:rRNA from 1 species
AUUGAACGCUGGCGGCAUGCUUUACACAUGCAAGUCGAACGGCAGCGCGGGCUUCGGCCUGGCGGCGAGUGGCGAACGGGUGAGUAAUGCAUCGGAACGUGCCCAGUAGUGGGGGAUAGCCCGGCGAAAGCCGGAUUAAUACCGCAUACGACCUGAGGGUGAAAGCGGGGGACCGAAAGGCCUCGCGCUAUUGGAGCGGCCGAUGUCGGAUUAGCUAGUUGGUGGGGUAAAGGCUUACCAAGGCGACGAUCCGUAGCUGGUCUGAGAGGACGACCAGCCACACUGGGACUGAGACACAGCCCAGACUCCUACGGGAGGCAGCAGUGGGGAAUUUUGGACAAUGGGGGCAACCCUGAUCCAGCCAUGCCGCGUGCGGGAAGAAGGCCUUCGGGUUGUAAACCGCUUUUGUUCGGGAAGAAAUCCUCUGGGCUAAUACCCCGGGGGGGAUGACGGUACCGGAAGAAUAAGCACCGGCUAACUACGUG